rnacentral:lncRNA from 1 species
UGGCCGUGGACACCUUCUGCUUCUCCUUCAAGUUCAUCAGGAGGUUCUACUCCCAGAGUUUCUUGGCAACGACAGUUAGACGGCUAUGAACGCAAGUUCUAAAAAAUUGACCGUCCACUUGCCCGACUUCAGGUGGAAGGACGGAAGUCCUCUAUUGACUACGACUUCCACACCGUCCAGCCUCUCUCUCAGCACAUCUUGGACAAACCGAUCUCAUCUCGAUUCAAGAUGCCAC